rnacentral:rRNA from 1 species
AACGAACGCUGGCGGCAUGCCUAACACAUGCAAGUCGAACGAGACCUUCGGGUCUAGUGGCGCACGGGUGCGUAACGCGUGGGAACCUGCCCUUAGGUUCGGAAUAACUCCCCGAAAGGGGUGCUAAUACCGGAUAAUGUCUUCGGACCAAAGAUUUAUCGCCUUUGGAUGGGCCCGCGUUGGAUUAGCUAGUUGGUAGGGUAAAAGCCUACCAAGGCGACGAUCCAUAGCUGGUCCGAGAGGAUGAUCAGCCACACUGGGACUGAGGCACGGCCCAGACUCCUACGGGAGGCAGCAGUGGGGAAUAUUGGACAAUGGGCGAAAGCCUGAUCCAGCAAUGCCGCGUGAGUGAUGAAGGCCUUAGGGUUGUAAAGCUCUUUUACCCGGGAUGAUAAUGACAGUACCGGGAGAAUAAGCGCCGGCUAACUCCGUG